AGUGAACGCUGGCGGUAUGCCUAACACAUGCAAGUCGAACGGCAGCACAGUAAGGGUUUGCUCUUACGGGUGGCGAGUGUCGGACGGGUGAGGUAUACAUCGGAAUCUACUUUUUCGUGGGGGAAAACGUAUGGAAACUUACGCUAAUACCGCAUACGACCUACGGGUGAAAUCAGGGGAUCUUCGGACCUUACGCGAUUGAAUGAGCUGAUUGCGGAUUAGCUAGUUGGCGUGGUAGAGGCCCACGAAGGCGACGAUCCGUAGCUGGUCUGAGAGGAUGAUCAGCCACACUGGAACUGAGACACGGUCCAGACUCCUAGGGGAGGCAGCAGUGGGGAAUAUUGGACAAUGGGCGCAAGCCUGAUCCAGCCAUACCGCGUGGGUGAAGAAGGCCUUCGGGUUGUAAAACCCUGUUGUUGGGAAAGAAAAGCAGCAUGUUAAUACCCCGCUGUUCUGACGGUACCCAAAGAAUAAGCACCGGCUAACUUCGUG
rnacentral:rRNA from 1 species